rnacentral:rRNA from 1 species
GAUGAACGCUGGCGGCGUGCCUAAUACAUGCAAGUCGAGCGAACAGACGAGGAGCUUGCUCCUCUGACGUUAGCGGCGGACGGGUGAGUAACACGUGGAUAACCUACCUAUAAGACUGGGAUAACUUCGGGAAACCGGAGCUAAUACCGGAUAAUAUAUUGAACCGCAUGGUUCAAUAGUGAAAGACGGUUUUGCUGUCACUUAUAGAUGGAUCCGCGCCGCAUUAGCUAGUUGGUAAGGUAACGGCUUACCAAGGCAACGAUUCGUAUCGAACCUGAGCGGGUGAUCGGCCACACUGGAACUGAGACACGGUCCAGACUCCUACGGGGGGCAGCAGUAGGGAAUCUUCCGCAAUGGGCGAAAGCCUGACGGAGCAACGCCGCGUGAGUGAUGAAGGUCUUCGGAUCGGAAAACUCUGUUAUUAGGGAAGAACAAAUGUGUAAGUAACUAUGCACGUCUUGACGGUACCUAAUCAGAAAGCCACGGCUAACUACGUG